AGUCACUGCUAUUGGGAUUCGACUAAGCCAUGCGAGUCGAGAGGGUUCGGCCCUCGGCUGACGACUCAGUAACACGUGGAUAAUCUGCCCUUAGGUGGAGGAUAAUCUCGGGAAACUGAGGAUAAUACUCCAUAGAUCUAGGAUGCUGGAAUGCAUUUAGAUUGAAAGCUCCGGCGCCUAAGGAUGAGUCUGCGGACUAUCAGGUUGUAGUCAGGAUAAAGACCUGACUAGCCUAUGACGGAUACGGGUUGUGAGAGCAAUAACCCGGAGACGAUAUCUGAGACACGAUAUCGGGCCCUACGGGGCGCAGCAGGCGCGAAAACUUCACACUGUGCGAAAGCGCGAUGAGGGAAUCCCAAGUGCUUACUCGUAAGAGUAAGCUGUUUCUUUGUCUAAAAAGCAGAGAGAGUAAGGGCUGGGUAAGACGGGUGCCAGCCGCCGCGGUAAUACCUGCAGCUCAAGUGGUGAUCAUUAUAUUGGGCCUAAAACGUCCGUAGCCGGUUUAGUAAAUGCCUGGGUAAAUCGUGUAGCUUAACUAUACGAAUUCCGGGUAGACUGCUAAACUUGAGACCGGGUGAGGCUAGAGGUACUCCUGGGGUAGAGGUGAAAUUCUGUAAUCCUAGGGGGACCACCAGUGGCGAAGGCAUCUAGCUAGAACGGAUCUGACGGUGAGGGACGAAGCCCUGGGGCGCAAAACCGGAUUAGAUACCCGGGUAGUCCAGGGUGUAAACGCUGCUUGCUUGAUGUUAGUUGGGCUCCGAGCCCAACUAGUGUCGGAGAGAAAUUGUUAAGCAAGCUGCCUGGGAAGUACGGUCGCAAGGCUGAAACUUAAAGGAAUUGGCGGGGGAGCACAAGCAACGGGUGGAGCGUGCGGUUUA
rnacentral:rRNA from 1 species